rnacentral:rRNA from 1 species
GUAGAUGGCCAUGCCACCCUGUCUGAUCUCGGAAGCUAAGCAGGAAGCUAAGCAGGGUCGGGCCUGGUUAGUACUUGAGUGGGAGACCACCUAGGAAGACCAGGUGCUGUAGGUG